GACACACUUGCCUUUUCGAUCGGUAUGAAAUAUUUUCGCCAUACACGAUAUACAGCCGCAAAACCAUGUACCAUAUACAAGUAUGUAGUACGACUUAUCUAAUGAGAGCGGAAAGAAAAUAAAAACUCACCACUGCUUCUACCGUCCGAAACGUGGAUAUCCGCGAGAAUAGGAUAUUUCCCGUAGAAAUUUGUGAUUACUGAUUACUCUCUUACAACGCAGGAUUGCCAGUCUCGAUAUUUUAUAGUAAUUAAAAAAUAAACUUGAAUACAUUUGAAAUAUUCCUAAACUAACUCGAAAUUGCAGUCGAAUCCAUUUAUUUAUAAAUAGGUGUGUGUAAAACCGUCUAAAAUAAAUUGAGCAAUGGCAAGAGAACAACUGAUUUCUACGUUAUCACUGCGAAAAGACGGCACGUCGGUCACUAACUGAAACAUUCGUCCUACAAAGUGUAAACAUGUGCCAGGAUCAAGCGCACAAUUGAAAUGUACUUUUUAUAUCUGGCAUAAUUUUAUUAUGAUAGUAUUUUGAUGUAUUUGACUUUAUUUAGACAAUAAAUAAUAUAAAAAUUUUAA